rnacentral:rRNA from 1 species
CUGGUUGAUCCUGCCGGACCCGACUGCUAUCGGAGUGAGACUAAGCCAUGCGAGUCGUGCGCUCCGGGCUGGCGGAGCGCGGCGUACGGCUCAGUAACACGUGGUCAACCUACCCUGCGGACGGCUAUAACCCCGGGAAACUGGGGCUAAUAGCCGAUAGGGGAUAGGUGCUGGAAGGCCCUGUCCUCGAAAGGCCUAACCACCCAUGCCGUGGUUAGGCGCCGCAGGAUGGGACUGCGCCCUAUCAGGUAGACGGUGGGGUAACGGCCCACCGUGCCUGUAACGGGUGCGGGCCCUGGGAGGGGGAGCCCGGAGAUGGGCACUGAGACAAGGGCCCAGGCCCUACGGGGCGCAGCAGGCGCGAAAACUCCGCUAUGCGCGAAAGCGCGACGGGGUCACUCCGAGUGCCGCCCGCUGAGGGCGGCUUUUGCCCAGUCCAAAAGGCUGGGCGAAUAAGGGGAGGGCAAGUUUGGUGUCAGCCGCCGCGGUAAUACCAACUCCCCGAGUGGUCGGGACGAUUAUUGGGCUUAAAGCGUCCGUAGCCGGCCCGGUGUGUCUCUGGUCAAAUCCGGCGUCUCAAGCGCCGGACCGCCGGAGAUACUACUGGGCUAGGGAGCGGGAGAGGCGGGCGGUAUUCCCUGGGUAGGGGUAAAAUCCUAAGAUCCAGGGAGGACCAUCGGUGGCGAAGGCGGCCCGCUAGAACGCGUCCGACGGUGAGGGACGAAAGCUGGGGGAGCGAUCCGGAUUAGAUACCCGGGUAGUCCCAGCCGUAAACGAUGCAGGCUAGGUGUGUGGACGCCUUAGGGGCGUCCAUGUGCCGAAGGGAAACCGUUAAGCCUGCCGCCUGGGGAGUACGGCCGCAAGGCUGAAACCCUAGGAGGCCCUUAACUGAUAUAAUGAGGAAGGGUUCUCCUAGGGCAGCACACUUAAAGGAAUUGGCGGGGGAGCACCACAAGGGGUGGAGCCUGCGGCUCAAUUGGAGUCAACGCCGG